rnacentral:rRNA from 1 species
GUGCCAGCAGCCGCGGUAAUACGGAAGGGGCGAGCGUUGUUCGGAAUCAUUGGGCGUAAAGGGCGCGUAGGUGGUUUUGUAUGUCUGCCGUGAAAGGGUACAGCUUAACUGUAGCUUGUCGGUGGAAACUGCAGGACUUGAGGCUGGGAGGGGCUGGUGGAAUUCCCUGUGUAGCGGUGAAAUGCGUAGAGAUGGGGGAGAACACUCGUGGCGAAGGCGGCCAGCUAGACCAGUUCUGACACUGAGGCGCGACAGCGUGGGGAGCAAACAGGAUUAGAUACCCCGGUAGUCC